CAACAAAUCAGAAAUCAUUUUCCCAAAAAUCAGAAAUAGGAAAAAAAAGAAAAAAAAGUAACCAAAUUCUAGGGGGAAAAACGUGGGAAAGAAGAGCAACAAUCCGGAAAAGAAAUGCUCUGGGUGAGUGGGGUGUGCAUGACCACGGAGCUCUCCCAUCUCUGCACAACACCUCUGGCUCUGGGGAUCUCACUGUUAGACGAGGGCCUGCCAUGGGCUGGGCUCGGCAUGUCGGUCUGGAAGAUUUAAGUUAAAACACCAUAAAUCUUUUCUUGGAAGCAGCAUCUUUCAAGAUAACAGAGGCAGCACCCGGAUUUUG
rnacentral:lncRNA from 1 species